GACGAACGCUGGCGGCGUGCUUAACACAUGCAAGUCGAACGGCAGGGCCCUGCUUUUGUGGUGUGCUCGAGUGGCGAACGGGUGAGUAACACGUGAGUAACCUGCCCUUGACUUUGGGAUAACUUCAGGAAACUGGGGCUAAUACCGUAUAGGAGCUCCUGCUGCAUGGUGGGGGUUGGAAAGUUUCGGCGGUUGGGGAUGGACUCGCGGCUUAUCAGCUUGUUGGUGGGGUAGUGGCUUACCAAGGCUUUGACGGGUAGCCGGCCUGUGAGGGUGACCGGCCACCUUGGGACUGAGAUACGGCCCAGACUCCUACGGGAGGCAGCAGUGGGGAAUAUUGCACAAUGGGCGGAAGCCGGAUGCAGCAACGCCGCGUGCGGGAUGACGGCCUUCGGGUUGUAAACCGCUUUCGCCUGUGACGAAGCGUGAGUGACGGUAAUGGGUAAAGAAGCACCGGCUAACUACGUG
rnacentral:rRNA from 1 species